UUGUGGGACUCGGCAACCGCCCGAAAAAACCUCAGCAGUCGCUGCCCGGGACGGGCCCCAGCCCCUGAGCGGAGCGCACAAGCACACUGCAGCCCGACACACGCUGCCCGGAGAGAGCCGUGGCAGACAGAACCACGGCCACCGCCGCUGCAGCCACCCUGGGCAGGGUCGGGGUGGGAGCCAGCGCCAGCGAACUGCCGCGCUGCCUCGGCAAGUUCCUGGAUCGCCGCCCGCUACCGCUCUCAGCAGCAGCAGCCAAGCAGCGGCCAGAGGCGCGAGGUCAACACCUCAGGGAGCAGGUCCCUGAGGAAGGACCACCACCUCCGGCGCCCCAGCAAACAACGAGAUCGAGAGACCCGCGCCGGCGGAAGCAGCAGCGGGACCCGAGCGGGAACCACUCCGAAGGCAGGAAGGACCCGGAACCCGGAAACGAAAGAGGCACCGGGAAAAACAAACCCAAGCAGAGCACAAGGUCUGCAAAAACCGGGGCUAUGGAGCGUGAGCGGAGAAGAGGAUCCCACAGAAUCCCUGGGGAGCUCCGGGAAAGGUCCGAGGGAGGAAAGAGCCCAAGCGGGACCGUCGGCGAAGGAGGGAGCGAGCGGAAGCCCAGCGGCAACAGCACGAGAGAAACCCAGGAACAGAGGGACCCCAGAGACAAACGGAGUGGUGCAGACACAAAGCUGCCGACUUCAGCAGUAGUCAAAGCAACAAAAACCCCCUUCCUUGACUUUUUUCCUUUUUCUUUGCAGCCUAAACUAAGAACUGGUCUUUUUUUGCAAACCCUCUUUGUUUAUCAACCUCUUUCAGUUUAACAGUGUGAGUAAGGCGAACAAAACGCUACCAAUGGAGAGACUGUCCCUCUCCGCAAAACAAACAAACAAACAAACAAAAAAAAAAAGAAAGAAAAAAAAGGGGGAAGCGAGGGAAGCAAAGACCCUUUGCUGAAUGAAGACACCCUUCCAUAGCUAAUAGCCAGAAUUGUUUUUAAAUGUAUGCAUAGUUGUAUUUUUGAAAAUUUUAAAGUUUUCACAAUAACAAUUUUCCUUAAGUCCAAAAGCCAAAUUAACACAGAAACACAUAUAUUUGCCCUAAAAAUAGAAGAAGUAUAUAUUUUAUCCUUGAACUAUAGGAAUGUUUCUAUGUAUUUGAAAUUGAAAUUGAACAUGAAGUAACAUAUGCUUAUGUUUUUACAGGUUAUACUAUCAUAAAAAACAGAAAACAUAUAUUACUAAUCUAAGGGUGAGAAACAAAAAACGCCAAUUUCUCAGUUCAUAACCAAAAGACACUGUAAAAUGAAACCCAAAAGUAUGUUUGUAUGAUGUGUGUUCGAUGGCCAUCGAGUAUGAAUGUGUAAAUGUAUGCAUGCGUGUGAAAAUACAAUAAUUAAUAGGUUCUGAUUUAUACACAAAUGCACAUUACCUCACACAUGCACAAACAGCCUUAGAUAAAGAACAGAAAACAUAUCACCCUGAGUGGAAUAGAAUUUCAUUUGCAGAAAUGUUUUAGGUUAAAUAAAAGUUUUCAAAAACAAACACUAAAAAACACUUUCAGGUAAAAGUCAGGAGCAUACGAACCCUGAAGUCAUCAAGUUAUUAAGUUUGGUUCAAAAUCAAUCGCUUACAAGUCAAUAGGAUCUUUAGAGAAUAGCUUCAAUAAGAUUUUAUAAGAGUAAUUUCUAAUAAGAAAUAAUAGGAAUAAGCUAAGUUGUUUAAACAAGUUUUAUAAUUUAGCAUUGUUUGGAAUUUUUCCUUCUUGCAUUUUGUUCCUUGUUUACUUUUCUAUAUCCAAAAAUGUUUGAUAGUCUUUUUGAUUGGUUUAAUGUUCUUAAUGUUAGUGCUAGGAUUAAGAAGAUAAUUUAUGUAGCAAUAUGCAGAAUGCCUUAAAACAGCUGUGAUUCCUUCACAUGCCUUUAUAAUGCCAAACCUUGUGGCCCAAACUAUUCUGACACACAAUGCCUUUGCAUAAUCAUACUUUCCAUCUCAGGUAUAUAAAAGACUGUACAUUGCCUUGAAAAAGGAGCCUCCUUGCUAACAUUAAUUUCACUUGUGGUAUUAAAAGUAAGACUGCAAUAUUUCUUGUUAGAUCCACUUAAGAAUACAUUUGCUUCUAAAAUGCAGCUAUAGAAUUUGUUAUUACUCACUCUGAACUAAUGCAUCAAAGCAUUGAUAGUUGAAGAAAAAAAUAGUAAUCAAAACAGACUACAUGUUUUAAUAGCAAGAUAAAUUUAAUACUCUAGUUAAAGAAAACAAUUAUGGUAAUAUUUGUAUUCCCUUGUAUUUUGUCUUCCAUUAGCAAACGUCUGAUCAAUGUUUUUUCCGAGUUUUUUGGUUUUUAGAAAACUAAAAAAGAAGGGGCAGAUGUGGGAGCCCAAACCCAGCUUUCAGCAAAGGAAAACAAGGGCUGACAAAAACCUCCUGAUCUGAAGGAGCUGGACCCUUCUCACAAGACCUGUUAAAGUUCUACCUCAUGGAUCAAGCCUGGUUCCAGCAGAAACCGCCACUCAGAAGGUCUCAGGUGACCACGUCCUCCCUUUUGAAGCGGCCUCCACUUUGAAAAAUGUCAGUGGCCUUCCGAGCCACCUCAUCGGGACGUAAUGGGGGGCACAGAGUAGGCGUGUCGGGAAGCCUGUAAGCCCAGAGUGUCUCAGCCAGUGGAGAAACGGGCAGGGAGCAGCGCUGCGGGCAAAGGGGCUAAAAGGGGGCUGCGACCUCCACUGAGCUGAGCCACCUCACUGCCGUUUGUCCAGUGAAGUCUCCCUUUUCUUGCAAUAAAAGUUUAUUUUUUUUCGUCGGCU